GGAGCAACCUUUAAUGCGAAAUGCACCAAAUAACAACAUCGAUCCAAGAAGAGGAAGGAAGCAUGUGAGGAAUAAACCGGAAGUGAAGGAGUUUAAAGAAAGAAAUAAGAGAAGGGAAAGAGGGCAGAGUUGCCCAAGAGAGAAAGUGAGAGUCGAGAGGGGUAAGCGUGAAAAGAAAGAGUGAGACUGAGGGGUAAAAGAGAGUUUUUUAGGUUUAAAAAAUCAGAGAAUUUUGUCAAAGAUUCUUCUGAAUUUUUUUAAAU
rnacentral:lncRNA from 1 species